CAUAAAGGAAAUUGAUUUUUAUUUUCAAAGUCAAUGGUGAGUAAAUGAACAAUGGUUGCCAGGCAACCUGUGAGCAGGGAUUGAGUAGAGACUAAAGCAAACAGCAGCCUCCACCCCCCAUCCCAGGAACCCAGAGCCUCUCAGGCCUUGUGCUUCCAGCCUGGGACUCCUGGCACCCUGGGGGAGGGCUGUGCCUUCAGGACUCGCCUUAGACCGGGAGGAGCCAUGGAAGGAUUUUUCUGGAGAGGAGGAGUGGAGGUAAAUCUACAAUUCAGCACCUCUCCCUCCACACAGUGGACGGAUUGAGGGGUGAUUGAUUGGCAGGGGAGGUGCUCUAGUUUCCGUCAGGAAAGGAAACCCU
rnacentral:lncRNA from 1 species